GUUUAUCAAUGCAUGAGUUAGAAAUGUUCAUCCCUAAGUGAAAUUAACAUCAAGCACAAAGAAGGAAGAAGGCGCAAGUCACUCGAAGGCACAAGCAUCUCAAGAUCGCGGUAAAUCACAUGAUUAAUUGCGGCGCGCUCGGACCGAACAUACACACACAACGUUGACCUUUAUACGCUUCCGGUUCAAGUUGUUUCUUUUGAAUGGGUCGAAACAUCCUUUUGUGUAGUAAAUGUUAAACUAAUUAUUAGGAUGAU